AAUGAACGCUGGCGGCGCGCCUAAUACAUGCAAGUCGAGCGAGAAGACGUAGCAAUACGUUUGUAAAGCGGCGAACGGGUGAGGAAUACAUGGGUAACCUACCCUCGAGUGGGGAAUAACUAGCCGAAAGGUUAGCUAAUACCGCGUACGCUUCUUGGACUUCGGUUCAGGGAGGAAAGCGAUGCCGAGGGUAUCGCGCUCUUGGAUGGGCUCAUGUCCUAUCAGCUGUUGGUGAGGUAACGGCUCACCAAGGCUUCGACGGGUAGCUGGUCUGAGAGGACGAUCAGCCACACUGGCACUGCGACACGGGCCAGACUCCUACGGGAGGCAGCAGUAAGGAAUAUUGCGCAAUGGGCGAAAGCCUGACGCAGCGACGCCGCGUGGGGGAUGAAGGUCUUCGGAUUGUAAACCCCUUUCGGGAGGGAAGA
rnacentral:rRNA from 1 species